ACGGCUCAUUACAACAGCAAUAAUAUACUCAAUCCCUAUCCUAAACGGAUAACUGCGAUAAUUUUGGAGCUAAUACGUGCGGAAAAGCGCUGACCGCAAGGGACGCGCGCAUUUAUUAGAAUAAGACCAAUGUGGGUUAAUAGCCCUUUUGGUGAACUCUGAAUAACUAUCGCUGAUCGCAUGGUCUUGUACCGGCGACGUAUUGAUUGAGUUUCUGCCUUAUCAACUAUUGAUGACAGCGUAUGGAACUGUCAUGGUUGUUACGGGUAACGGAGAAUCAGGGUUCGACUCCGGAGAGGGAGCCUGAGAAACGGCUACCACAUCCAAGGAAGGCAGCAGGCGCGUAAAUUACCCACUCUCAAUACGAGGAGGUAGUGACUAUCAAUAACGAGACAGGACCCUUUGGGUCCUGUUAUUGGAAUGGGAACAAUUUAA
rnacentral:rRNA from 1 species